CGGACGGGUGAGUAACGCGUGAGAAUCUACCUUCAGGACGGAGACAACAGUUGGAAACGACUGCUAACCCCCGAUGUACUGAAAAGGCAAAUAUUUAUAGCCUGAAGAAGAGCUCGCGUCCGAUUAGCUAGUUGGAGAGGUAAAAGCUCACCAAGGCGACGAUCGGUAGCUGGUCUGAGAGGACGAUCAGCCACACUGGGACUGAGACACGGCCCAGACUCCUACAGGAGGCAGCAGUGGGGAAUUUUCCGCAAUGGGCGAAAGCCUGACGGAGCAAGACCGCGUGGGGGAAGAAGGCUCUUGGGUUGUAAACUCCUUUUCUCUGGGAAGAACAAAAUGACGGUACCAGAGGAAUCAGCAUCGGCUAACUCCGUGCCAGCAGCCGCGGUAAGACGGAGGAUGCAAGCGUUAUCCGGAAUGAUUGGGCGUAAAGCGUCCGCAGGUGGCAGUUCAAGUCUGCUGUCAAAGACCGGGGCUCAACCUCGGAAAGGCAGUGGAAACUGAACAGCUAGAGUAUGGUAGGGGCAAAGGGAAUUCCUGGUGUAGCGGUGAAAUGCGUAGAGAUCAGGAAGAACAUCGGUGGCGAAGGCGCUUUGCUGGACCAUAACUGACACUCAGGGACGAAAGCUAGGGGAGCGAAAGGGAUUAGAUACCCCUGUAGUC
rnacentral:rRNA from 1 species